rnacentral:rRNA from 1 species
GGAUUCCCCUAGUAACGGCGAGUGAAGCGGGAUGAGCUCAAGCUUAAAAUCUCUGUCACAAAUUUAUUUUGUGCGGCGAAUUGUAGUCUAUAGAAGCGUGGUCAGUGUAGGCGCUUGGGUUAAGUUCCUUGAAAAAGGACAGCAUCGAGGGUGAUACUCCCGUUUGUACCUGAGUGUCUUAUGCGUACGACCCGUUUUCUUUGAGUCGCGUUGUUUGAGAAUGCAGCGCAAAGUAGGUGGUAAAUUCCAUCUAAAGCUAAAUAUUGGUGCGAGACCGAUAGCGAACAAGUACCGUGAGGGAAAGAUGAAAAGAACUUUGAAAAGAGAGUUAAAGAGUACCUGAAACUGCUGAAAGGGAACCGGAUCGUUUCUAGUGUCUAUAAUCCGUGACAUAUUUCAUUGGCGGGCGUGUGCGUAUGUGUACUAUGGCAGCGGCUAAUUGGCUGCGCUUGGUGUGCGUGCUGUGUGUGCUUACUGGUGCCCUGUGUUAUGGUGGGACGUCAAGGUCAGUUCGUAUGCUGCGGGAAAUGGCUACUGAGGAGGUAGGGCUUACGCUUGCGUUUGUCUGUUAUAUCUUGGUGGUUUUGUCGUGGUUGGGACUGAGGUGUUCUACAACGUGCUCUUGAGUGGGUCUGCGUCUCCGUGUGCACCGUGUGCAGAUAGCUUGCUAUGUGUGUGUGGUUGUGUGUAGAUUGAUGCGGGCUUGAACUUGUUGCCGUUCGGGACUUUGACGAAAUAGAGCGAUUUGACCCGUCUUGAAACACGGACCAAGGAGUCUAACAUGUGUGCAAGUGUUAGGGUGUGGAAACCCCAGCGCGAAAUUAACGUAAAGGAUAGCGUAAGCUGUCUUAGGUAGGAAACGUUGCGGAUUUCGGUCUGUGGCGUGGCACUAUCGACCGAUCAUGAACCUUCGUGGUGAAAGAUUUGAGUUAGAGCACAUAUGUUGGUACCCGAAAGAUGGUGAACUAUGCCUGAGUAGGGUGAAGCCAG